UACGUAGGGGGGCAAGCGUUGUCCGGAAUCAUUGGGCGUAAAGAGCGUGUAGGCGGCCCGAUAAGUCCGCUGUGAAAGUCCAGGGCUCAACCCUGGAAUGCCAGUGGAAACUGUCGGGCUAGAGUCCGGAAGAGGCGAGUGGAAUUCCUGGUGUAGCGGUGAAAUGCGCAGAUAUCAGGAGGAACACCGAUGGCGAAGGCAGCUCGCUGGGACGGUACUGACGCUGAGACGCGAAAGCGUGGGGAGCAAACAGG
rnacentral:rRNA from 1 species